UACAGAGGUCUCAAGCGUUGUUCGGAUUCAUUGGGCGUAAAGGGUGCGUAGGCGGCGCGGUAAGUCGGGUGUGAAAUUUCGAGGCUUAACUUCGAAACUGCAUUCGAUACUGCCGUGCUAGAGGACUGGAGAGGAGACUGGAAUUUACGGUGUAGCGGUGAAAUGCGUAGAUAUCUGGAGGAACACCUAUUGCGAAGGCAGCUCGCUGGGACGUAACUGACGCUGAGGCACGAAGGUCAGGGGGAGCAAAACGGGG
rnacentral:rRNA from 1 species